rnacentral:siRNA from 1 species
GGCCAGAUCCAUUUUAAACCCU